AUCUGCCCAUCUGGAUGGAUACCGUGUUCCAGACAAUAAAGCUCCCAGCAAGCAUUUCCCAUUUGCACGCCCGCUUGCCCUAUAUGAAUGGAUAUGCAUUCCCGCUGUGAACAAGGAGACAAAUAGUGGUGCACAAAAAGAAAUAAAAUAAAUGAUAUAUAAUAAUUAUUUCUUUGAUUUUAUAUGUAUUACAAUAGAGAAACUAGUUUGACGUCAUUACAUACCGCAGUGAGAUGCCCAUCACAAAUAAUAUAAGUUUCUAAUUGAUCGCACACAUGAUUAAGUAAGAUCUGUCGAACGAGCCUUACGAGGUUGACGGAACAAGAAACGAGAUAUUCUUAACAAGGGAUGAUUACCGGCGACUCAGACGUCGUCGACUAAAGCAGUGUCUUUAUCAAUGUCAACAAGAAUGGUAGAAAAAUGCCACCUUGACCUGAUGUAACCUUCAUGAUUUAAUCAUGCCUCAAAAGUGAGUAUCUAUAUUAAUAUGCCUAUAACUGACCUACUUUCUGACUUAUGCGUACCAUCUCUCGCACGAUACGUAUUAUCGCACAAGAGACGAUACGCUGUCCAUGUGUAUCCGUAAGUCAGGAAGUAUUACACGCUCUAUAUCUGCAUGGUACGGUAAAAAUCGAUCUUUUACAGGUUGACACACUGUAACCAUAGCAGCUUAAUCGAAUAUCAAACUGCACACCCGCAUAUGACACAAUUGCACGAUUCACCGAAACGAUUUCAUUGUGAAUGUGGGUGUAAGUAAUCACAAAUUUAUCAUUCACUCAUUCAUUCACAAUUGUUCUUGAAAUUCUUUAUAGAAUUUUUUCAGAAUUACUGUGUAUAAUUAUGUAGCAUUUUUAAGAUUUUUUUAUUAAUUAAAACACAUUUUGAAAACGCUGUACGUCUACAGUAUAAUUCUAUAAUUCUUUAUAAAUAUAAAUUUUGAAAUAUUAUAAAAUUUUUAUUUCUCUUUAAUUUUAAGAAUCUUUCUGAUUCUUCAUAUAAUUUCUGAGGAAAACUUAUGAAAUUCAAAGAAAAGAGGUAUUUUUAAGGAAUCUUCAUAAAUUUAAAAUAUGAAACAAGAAAUAUUAAUUUAGAAAUAUUGGUAAUAUUUGAAUUACGAGGUAAUAAAAGAAUUUUUUUAUCAGAACCGAAAUUUUAGUAAUAUUAUUCGAUCUACCUUCAUAAAGAAAAUAUUCGAUAACACAAAAGCAUAUUUUAAUGCGCCAAUAUUUAGAUACCUUUAAAAAUGUAGUUGUAACAUAGCAAAAUUUAAAAAAAGUGCAAAUGAAUACACGAGUCACAUUCCUAUUCAUUAUUUUAAUAUCCAUUUUAUUGUUGAGUAACAGAAUUCAAAGAUUUAAACAAGCGAUUAUUAUAAGACUUAAAAAUGUAAAGUGAGAUAAUAUUUUACUAAUAUAAAACUAUGCUGUCGAGAGAGAUCGACAUGCAUUCAUGACAUGGAUCGAUAUCUCAAGUUUCGCGUGUUUUGAAGUAUACAAGAAAAUAAAUAGAAGCUAUGUAUAUUGAUAAGAUUUAUAUCUAGUUCUUUAAAUAUCUAUUAUAUUCAAUUCUUUAAUAUUUAAAAAAAAUUCAUGUGUAUCAUAGUAUUUUGAUUCCAUUUAAGAAAAUCGUAAAGAAAAGAUUUAAACGAAAA